GAUGAACGCUGACAGAAUGCUUAACGCAUGCAAGUCUUUGGCGAAGCUGUGCUUGCACAGCCUAGCCAAGGCGGACGGGUGAGUAACGCGUAAGGAACUUGCCCUGCAGUCAGGGAUAACAGACGGAAACGACUGAUAAGACCUGGUAAAGUCAGGCGGACUCAUGUCCAGCCUGAUGAAAAGAGAUGCUGCAGGAGAGCCUUGCGUCCUAUUAGCUUGUUGGUGGGGUAACGGCCCACCAAGGCGAUGAUAGGUAGCCGGCCUGAGAGGGUGGACGGCCACAAGGGGACAGAGAUACGGCCCUUACUCCUACGGGAGGCAGCAGUGGGGAAUAUUGGACAAUGGGGGCAACCCUGAUCCAGCAAUUCUGUGUGCACGAUGAAGGUUUUCGGAGUGUAAAGUGCUUUCAGCAGGGAAGAAAAAAAUGACGGUACCUGCAGAAGAAGCGACGGCUAAAUACGUG
rnacentral:rRNA from 1 species